AACGGUCUAUACCUGCGGUACCUGCGGAGGGAUCAUCAUUGAAUUUUAUAACAACUCAGGAUUGGGUGUUUUCACCUUUCCUGACAACAAACCAAUUUACAUGACUAGGAAAACAGUGAUUUGGAGAAAAGUUCUUGUCUGAAAAGUAGCUUGAUUUGGAGUUAGCAAAGCAAUACAACUUUUAGCAAUGGAUCUCU
rnacentral:misc_RNA from 1 species